GACGAUCUUCAUACACUCCUCUCUGAAACAGGAUGUGUUUGAAGUUCCUAAAAGUACAGAGCUGGUAGGAUUUCAGAAAGACACAUUUUGACUAAAUUAAAUAGAAGGCAGCCUUAUAUACUCUGAAUCCUUUUAACGUCUUCUUACUCUUAGCAUUAUAACGACCACAAACGAGUUAGAGCAUAGCUCUUAUUAUAAGCAUCAUGUUUGACAACAGAAUCCACCUUCAACAAAUGUGUGUGUAGUUUUAAUCGGAGUAUUUCAGACCUGAAGGCUUCUUCUUCUGGGAAGGAGAGAUCCUGCACACUGAGCUCAUUGGACGACACAGCUGCCACAAUGCAGUGCUGACAAUCGGGCCUUUCCCCUGAGUCCUUGAGCUGGGGGGAUCAUGAGGACCACCUGGACACUCAACACGGUCUGCAGCCUCACCUGCGUGAGAGGUAAGAAGCUUGUACAACGACUGCCAUGGAUAAAGAUGAAGCACCCUCAAUUCAUGACUGACAGCCACUCCGCAGCCUGCACGGGCAAAGGAAACGCAUGUAGGCUCCCUAAAGAAAUAGUAGGAUGA
rnacentral:lncRNA from 1 species